UACGUAGGGUGCAAACGUUGUUCGGAAUUACUGGGCGUAAAGCGUGUGUAGGCGGCCAUAUAAGUCGGAUGUGAAAGCCCCGGGCUUAACCCGGGAAGUGCACUCGAUACUGUGUGGCUCGAGUAUCGGAGAGGUUGGUGGAAUUCUCGGUGUAGAGGUGAAAUUCGUAGAUAUCGAGAGGAACACCGGUGGCGAAGGCGGCCAACUGGACGAAUACUGACGCUGAGACACGAAAGCGUGGGGAG
rnacentral:rRNA from 1 species